rnacentral:rRNA from 1 species
UACGUAGGGGGCAAGCGUUGUCCGGAAUCACUGGGCGUAAAGCGUGCGUAGGUGGUUUCGUAAGUCUGAAGUGAAAGUCCAAGGCUCAACCUUGGGAUGGCUUUGGAAACUGCGGAACUUGAGUGCUGGAGAGGCAAGGGGAAUUCCACGUGUAGCGGUGAAAUGCGUAGAUAUGUGGAGGAAUACCAGUGGCGAAGGCGCCUUGCUGGACAGAAACUGACGCUGAGGCACGAAAGCGUGGGGAG